GCGGUCGUCGUCUAGCCUGGUAGGACACCAGCUUGCCAAGCUGGUAGCCAGGGUUCAAUUCCCUGCGACCGCA
rnacentral:tRNA from 1 species